AUUGUUCAUGAAAAGCAUUGGAUAAUUGUUUGCGCAAACUUGCUAUACAAGAAGUGGAAUGUAUUUGACUCAAUCCAUUCAAAAGGAAAACAAUCUCCUUUGAAGAAGCAGGCCAAUAACCUGAUCACAAACUUUGCAGCCCUCGCAUAAGAGUACAGUGAAUUCAAUGUCAAUGUUGGAUCCUUCGCCCGUGUUGACCUAGAGGAUUACCCAAAGCAAGAUAAUCUAUGUGAUUGUGGCUUUUUCGGGCUCAAAUAUGUGGAGAAUUUUGAUGGGAAGUCAAUGAAAGAGUUCAAGCAGGAAGACGUGGCGCGAUACCGCAUGAAAGUGGCGCACAACCUUUGCACUCACCCAAUGAACAAUGCCCCAAUGGAGCGGACAUUCAAGGAAGAGUUGGCGGCUUAAUUUGCGGGAGGGUUCAAGACGAUCAAGCUCGUUUCUUUCGUUCGGUCUAGAAUCAUGUCUGAGGUGGUAG